GUGACGUAAGACACAACAUUUAAGAUAUCACAAACAGAUCAUAACAAGAAACAUUUGGAUGCGGUAGUAGCACAAGAAGAUUUGGCCAUGGCUUCAACAAAAAAAGUCAAAUCUGCCCCCCAUGAUUGAUAGCUGAUUUAUGGAAAAGGAUCUCAACAACGUCUUUACUUUUGAAUUUGAAAAGCCCAAAUUUGGGCAUUGGGACAGGAAAGAAGAAAUCAGCAAUGUGCAAGGUGGAAAAGGAAGUGAAUGGUGAGCUCAAACCAUGUAUCUUCAAGACAAGUGAAGCAAGUGCCAUGAAAAGUUUCAAUCUUUGGCAGCAUGUGAAACGUAACCAUCCUGAAAACUAUGCGGCUCUGGUUACAAAAAAAGGAUCAGGAAGAUGAGGCAAAACAGAAAGCUGAUGCAGCUAAACAAUGUUCAUCUGGCUCUUUGAGAAAAGAUCUUUUGCAGAGCUUCAUCUGAAAAGAAACCCAAAAUUGAGCAAACAAAACAUGACUCAUAUUUGAAGUCCUCAAAGGUUACAGUCACCAUGGAUGCCAAUACUUUCUGUGAAGGGCUGAUUGAAAUGGUUUGCUUGAGUUCAACACCGCUCACUACCUUCAGGCUAAAGAACAAAGGAUUCCAAAAAAUUGCAGGUGAAAUGGGUCGGCAGCUUGGUGUUUUGAUGGGCAUGAUGCAGUUUGUCAUUUAGUUGUCGGCACAUCUGAGUCUGGUUGCGAAGAGCUCAAGAAAGCUUUGGAGCAAAAAUUGUGCUACCUGAAAAUGGAUGUGGCAACCCAUGGAAACAGACAUUUCCUUGCAAUCAAUCCUCAGCACUAUGAAGACGGAAAAGAUAAAGCUGUGGUAAAAACCUUGGACAUAAUCAACACUGAAGGGCAUCACAAUUCUUUGUACGUGAAAAGUCAAGUAAAAGCUAUUUUAGAAAAAAUUGGGAUCAGUGAAAUGCAAGUGCUGAGCAUCUGCAUUAACAAUGCAGAAGACAUGACCUGUGUCUUCAAAAUUUUUUCAGCGAGGACAAUGAAACCAUUUCUACCUCUGAGAAUAGGGAUGUGGACAGAACUUAAGGUAUUUUGCCUGAUGAAGGAACUAAAGGAAUGGAUGAAGUCGAACUCAACAUGGAUGCUGCUGCGCAAUGAGUUAAUGACCCUAGCCUCAUACUUCCAACAUGGCUUCAUAAGGAUGACUCAAAGUCCAACUGAUGAUGUGUGGUAUUCACACUCUUCAGUUGGCAAUCUGUAAUGGACUGAACAAAGAACAUGUGAAGAAAUUUCUAGGAAAAAUUCGACAAGUCAUUGUCAAACUACGAACUCCAAGGAUUCAAGCUACAUGGGGUAACUCAAUCAUUGGAUUCUGUGACUCGCUGAGGUUCAAUAUUUGCGAUGAUUGAUCGGCUUCUCAUUUUUCAAUCUUACUGUGAACAAGUGGCUGCUGCUGG